rnacentral:pre_miRNA from 15 species
GGAGGAGGAGGAGGAGGAGGAGGAGGAGGAAAUGCAGGGAUUUUUUUUCUUCUUCUCUCCCCCCCUCCUCUCCUC